UCAGCUGGGAGAGCGCCUGCUUUGCACGCAGGAGGUCAGCGGUUCGAUCCCGCUAGGCUCCA
rnacentral:tRNA from 1 species